rnacentral:rRNA from 1 species
UGGGGAAUAUUGCACAAUGGGCGCAAGCCUGAUGCAGCCAUGCCGCGUGUAUGAAGAAGGCCUUCGGGUUGUAAAGUACUUUCAGCUGGGAGGAAGGGAGUAAAGUUAAUACCUUUGCUCAUUGACGUUACCCGCAGAAGAAGCACCGGCUAACUCCGUGCCAGCAGCCGCGGUAAUACGGAGGGUGCAAGCGUUAAUCGGAAUUACUGGGCGUAAAGCGCACGCAGGCGGUUUGUUAAGUCAGAUGUGAAAUCCCCGGGCUCAACCUGGGAACUGAAUCUGAUACUGGCAAGCUGGAGUCUCGUAGAGGGGCGUAGAAUUCCAGGUGUAGCGGUGAAAUGCGUAGAGAUCUGGAGGAAUACCGGUGGCGAAGGCGGCCCCCUGGACAAAGACUGACGCUCAGGUGCGAAAGCGUGGGGAGCAAACAGG